rnacentral:rRNA from 1 species
UACAGAGGGUCUCAAGCGUUUGGUUCGGAUUCAUUGGGGCGUAAAAGGGUGCGUAGGCGGCGCGGUAAGUCGGGUGUGAAAUCUUGGAGCUUAACUCCGAAACUGCAUUCGAUACUGCCGUGCUUGAGGACUGGAGAGGAGACUGGAAUUUGACGGUGUAGCGGUGGAAAUGCGUAGAUAUCGUAAGGAAGACCAGUGGCGAAGGCGGGU